rnacentral:misc_RNA from 1 species
GAUGAAGAACGUAGCGAAAUGCGAUAAGUAAUGCGAAUUGCAGAAUCCGUGAGUCAUCGAAUCUUUGAACGCACAUUGCGCCCUCUGGUAUUCCGGAGGGCAUGCCUGUUCGGGCGUCAUUAUCACCCCUCAAGCCCGGCUUGUUGUUGGAUGCAGCGCUUAUCCCGCUCCUCCCAAAGAUAAUGACGGCGUCUGCGACGACUCCUGUACACUGAGCUUUCGGGCACGUACACGGCUAGAAGUCCAGACCCGGUCGCCGUCCCCCCCGCGGGGACACCCAUUACCACAAGGUUGACCUCGGAUCAGGUAGGAAUACCCGCUGAACUUAAGCAUAUCAAUAAGCGGAGGA